rnacentral:rRNA from 1 species
ACACGCAUGACACACUGCAUAUCAAUAAGCGGAGGAAAAGAAACUAACAAGGAUUCCCUUAGUAACGGCGAGUGAAGCGGGAAGAGCUCAAAUUUGAAAUCUUCAAGGUUCUACCUUGACGAAUUGUAGUUUAAAGAAGUGUUUUCUGUUAGUGGAGUGGCAAAAGUUCUUUGGAAUAGGACAUCAUAGAGGGUGAGAAUCCCGUAUUUGGUCAUUCCUCCUAGCGUUGUGAUACACUUUCAACGAGUCGGAUUGUUUGGGAAUGCAGUCCAAAAUGGGUGGUAAAUUUCAUCUAAAGCUAAAUAUUGGCGAGAGACCGAUAGCGAACAAGUACUGUGAGGGAAAGAUGAAAAGAACUUUGAAAAGAGAGUUAAACAGUACGUGAAAUUGUCAAAAGGGAAGCGUUUGACACCAGUGUUGUUUUUCCGAAAAUCAAUUACGAAUGUUUUGUUUUUGAGGAGUUAUGACUUCAUCGGCUUGCUCCUUUCUUUAUGAAACUUUCUUAAUGCACUUUUCGGUUAACAAGUCAACAUCAAUUUCUUUUGUUGUAAAAGGGUAUGAGGAAGGUGGCUUUCUUUUCGGAGAAAGUGUUUAUAGCCUUGUAGCCUCUGCAAUCGGAGAGAUUGAGGUCUGCAGCGUAGAUCCUUCGGGGUUAGAUACAUUUGUGCUAAGUUAUAGCUUUUCAUAGACAACUUGUUGACUAUGUUUAGUCUUGUAGCUUACUCGCUUAUGCUAUUUUACCUACGCUUAGGAUGUUGACGAGACUGUCGAUCUC